rnacentral:tRNA from 1 species
AGCAGUGUGACUUAGAGGAUAAAGUACGGGCCUGGGAGUCCGAAAGACCUGGGUUCUAAUCCCAGCUCUGCCA